rnacentral:sRNA from 1 species
GCGGAACCCGGCAAAUCCCCGUUGGCACUUCUCGCAAAAACUUGCGAAACAAUUGGACUUCCCGAGGGCUCUUCAAAAAAGAAUGGAGCAUCAAGCAGUAGCUCACCACAAGGGAAAAAAGAUGAAAAGAAUCAUAUUCUUCAUCAUCAACACCACCAACAACAACAACAAUCAAAACAAAAAUCAUCGCCCCGAUCAACUCCUCAAUCAAAAGAGCCGACACUCACAUUCCCGGGUCUUCCGAAGCCGAGUUUCCCAAUGGGAAUGCCUGGAAUGAUGCAAGGAUUCCCAUUUUUCAACCCGAUGAUGACUGCCUAUGGCUGUUUUCCGGGUGCUUUUCCGAUGAGCCAAGGAUUUAUGGGUGCUCAGCGUCUUCCAUGCCCAUUUGCAAUGAUGCGUCAACCAUGUGCCAAUCCGGCAUGUGUGCAGUGUCCAAGUAGUAGCUCAAAUGCUGCUAAAAAUGGACAAAUGACUGCUGAAAUGAUGUCACAGUUUGCAGCGCAUCCGUUGUUCUCAAUGUAUGCUGGAAUGAUGCCAGGG